GAUGAACGCUAGCGGGAGGCUUAACACAUGCAAGUCGAGGGGUAAGAUGGGUAGUAAUACUCGUCCAAGACCGGCGCACGGGUGAGUAACGCGUAUGCAACCUGCCCUUUACAGGGGGAUAGCCCGGAGAAAUCCGGAUUAAUACCCCAUAGGCCUAUAACCUCGCAUGGGGAAUUAGGUAAAGCUGAGGCGGUAAAGGAUGGGCAUGCGUGACAUUAGCUUGUUGGCGGGUAACGCCACAAGGCUGCGAUGUCUAGGGGUUCUGAGAGGAAGGUCCCCCACACUGGUACUGAGACACGGACCAGACUCCUACGGGUGGCAG
rnacentral:rRNA from 1 species